CCUGGAUGAGAUGAAGGCCUUGGACCAAUUCUGUAGUCCCUCUGGGGUUCUGGAAAAUGGAGGACAGAGGUGGGAUUAAAGGUGACCCGGCUGAAGGGCUGAGUCACAAGAAGAGGCAGAGCACAGUAGGGACCGGAACCGCUGUCAGCAUAUGGUGCUAGAGGAGGAGAACCUUCUAUGCCACACCCAGCCAUGAGGGGACGCAGCUGUGACAGAGAACUGGAGAGACUGAGGUACCACCAAGGCCCCUCUGAGGGCAAGGGAUUGAUUAGGUGAGACAUGCCCAGAUGAUGCUAGCAGACCAUCCAUGC